AUAUCACUUGAGCUCCCAUUUCAGAGUAAGGAGUAAUCUUUGAAAGGGUUCAACUUCAAGAAAACUGCUCACCUUCAUAAACUUCUUCUCGUGUCCAAGUUGUAAGAAGACUGAUUCUAAAAUGCAAAUCAUUUUCGGAUGGAUUACGUGUGACAACUGUACAUCUGGAAAACCACUCAGAUCUUGCUUUCAAGCAUCACUUUUUGUUCUCUGAGCCAUUCAAUCUCUGCUUUGCAUGGAAGACUAUCUCAAGCAUAUUUCCCUACCUGAUCAGGGAGAUUAGAGCAUUGACCACAGGUUUUGACACCACAUAAAGUGAUAUACUAGACCUCAGGACACCAUUAAUUUUCUGUUAUUCAAGUGCCUUUCUAGU